AAUCAUUCCUUAAAACGUAUUUCAUGCGUCCUUGCAUGUAUAUAAGUAUAGAUCCCAUCUUCCAUGUACCACAAUAUAGCUAACCUUCUUAGUCUCCAAGACCACCACCACCACCACCAUCCAUUUUGCCAGCCAGCUAGCUCUUUGCAGAUACCGGAUAUUGUUGCCUAAUUAAGAUCCCAGUAUUCCUCAGGUUUCUCUUUCAAAUGGGUUCUCAAAGAAAAAACCAGUGCUUAACGAUGAUAAUCUUUGUUGCCGCUGUUUUUGGACCAUGCUUUCAACAAAUAUUGGCAGGUAGGCCAUUAGAAGGAGAGCAAUGGUUAAAGCAAAAUCUUGGGAAUAUUCAAUCUCUUCAAAAGGGUGGAUCUUCAUGCACUCAUAUUCCUGACCAUGGUAGUGGCCCUUGCCCCUUGGGUGAAAUGAACUUUGCUGGCCAUAUUGUUGCUCAUGCACCACCUGCUUUUCCUGAUGCCAUCGUAAACUUUGCUGCAGCUUCAGUCACUAAUAAUGAGACCCAAAAACAAGAUUCAAGCUCAUGAAUAUCUUAGGGAGUUAAAUUAUACGAGUAGGGUUUCUCAAGGAAUGCGAGGAUAGUUGAAAUAAAAGAAGGAUGGAGAUGGUAC
rnacentral:lncRNA from 1 species